rnacentral:rRNA from 1 species
UACGUAGGGGGCAAGCGUUGUCCGGAAUUAUUGGGCGUAAAGCGCGCGCAGGCGGUCCUUUAAGUCUGAUGUGAAAGCCCACGGCUCAACCGUGGAGGGUCAUUGGAAACUGGGGGACUUGAGUGCAGGAGAGAAGAGUGGAAUUCCACGUGUAGCGGUGAAAUGCGUAGAGAUGUGGAGGAACACCAGUGGCGAAGGCGACUCUUUGGCCUGUAACUGACGCUGAGGUGCGAAAGCGUGGGGAGCAAACGGG